rnacentral:rRNA from 1 species
CCUACGGGAGGCUGCAGUGAGGAAUAUUGGUCAAUGGGGGAAACCCUGAACCAGCAACGCCGCGUGAGGGAAGACGGUUUUCGGAUUGUAAACCUCUGUCCUCUGUGAAGAUAAUGACGGUAGCAGAGGAGGAAGCACCGGCGAACUACGUGCCAGCAGCCGCGGUAAUACGUAGGUGGCAAGCGUUGUCCGGAAUUACUGGGUGUAAAGGGCGUGCAGCCGGGAGUACAAGUCAGAUGUGAAAUCCCGCGGCUCAACCGCGGAACUGCAUUUGAAACUGUAUUUCUUGAGUACUGGAGAGGCAGACGGAAUUCCUAGUGUAGCGGUGAAAUGCGUAGAUAUUAGGAGGAACACCAGUGGCGAAGGCGGUCUGCUGGACAGCAACUGACGGUGAGGCGCGAAAGCGUGGGGAGCAAACAGGAUUAGAUACCCCGGUAGUC